GCUGCGGUGUCCGAGUGGUUAAGGAGAUGGACUUGAAAUCCUUUGGGCUCUGCCCGCACAGGUUCGAAUCUUGUCCGUAGUG
rnacentral:tRNA from 1 species